rnacentral:rRNA from 1 species
UAGGGAAUCUUCGGCAAUGGGGGGAACCCUGACCGAGCAACGCCGCGUGAGUGAAGAAGGUUUUCGGAUCGUAAAGCUCUGUUGUUAAGGAAGAACGAGUGUGAGAAUGGAAAGUUCAUACUGUGACGGUACUUAACCAGAAAGGGACGGCUAACUACGUGCCAGCAGCCGCGGUAAUACGUAGGUCCCGAGCGUUGUCCGGAUUUAUUGGGCGUAAAGCGAGCGCAGGCGGUUAGAUAAGUCUGAAGUUAAAGGCAGUGGCUCAACCAUUGUAGGCUUUGGAAACUGUUUAACUUGAGUGCAGAAGGGGAGAGUGGAAUUCCGUGUGUAGCGGUGAAAUGCGUAGAUAUAUGGAGGAACACCGGUGGCGAAAGCGGCUCUCUGGUCUGUAACUGACGCUGAGGCUCGAAAGCGUGGGGAGCGAACAGG